GUUCACCCUUGUUCUCACCAAAUUCGCCCAAUUGACUAGGAAAAAUCGAUGUUUAUCAACUGCAUGUAGUGAAAAUUCGAACAUCUACCCAUACCCGGUGAUGUGGUGUGAAGGAAGAAAGUUCAAACUCUAAGAAACCGGAAGGAUCACAAGACCGAGGUAAAACUCCACUUUAGGCGAUUUGGAGAUAUGGAGCGAGCACAUGUUCAAGCCUUAUUAUACCAAGCGCUUCCGCUAGUUUAUAUGCAUACUUUUUGGGUCCAUGUCUUGUAGUUUUGUUUAAUCUUGUUAGAAGUUUACACUUGAAAACUUGUUGUCUUUGUUUGGGGUAGUUUAAAGUUAAAUGG